GCGAGGAUGUCCAAUCUCUUUUUCACACUUUCUUUCCAUCAUUUUAAGGUGAAACAACAGUGACAGUCCAUUCCACCCCCCUCCUCGGCAGCGGCGCCACGGACUACACCUCCGUCACAGUGUUGUUCUGUGUUCAUCUGCAACCCAGACUACAAAUCUCUCUACUGAACCUGGACCAAGAGACUAAGAAUCAGGCCAACAGCUUCUCAGCUGAAGGAUGCAGAGAGGACACUUUCCAUCAGGACAAACCAGGAUCAGAGAACCCGUGACACUCAUCUCUCUUUGAAACUAUGGCCGCUGCAGAUCCCUCAGCUGACUCUGAACUUGAGUAUUUAUGUUUAGCUCAUCUGAACAUAUGUGGUCUUAGGAAUAAGCAUCCUGACGUUGAGAAAAUAUUAACAGAUUCUAACAUUCAUGUGCUGGCGUUAACUGAAACUCAUUUAGACAACAGUGUUAAAAACUCUGAACUACAUAUAGAGAAAUUCAGGUUUUACAGGAAGGAUAGAAACAGAGAUGGAGGCGGUGUCGGUUUCUAUAUUCACGAUCACAUGACAGUUAUUCAGCGGUCUGACUUGGAUCACAAAGAUCUCGAGAUGAUCUGGGUUGAGUUUUCCCUGCCAGAU